GAUGAACGCUGGCGGCGUGCCUAAUACAUGCAAGUCGAGCGAACAGACGAGGAGCUUGCUCCUCUGACUUUAGCGGCGGACGGGUGAUUAACACGUGGAUAACCUACCUAUAAGACUGGGAUAACUUCGGGAAACCGGAGCUAAUACCGGAUAAUAUAUUGAACCGCAUGGUUCAAUAGUUAAAGACGGUUUUGCUGUCACUUAUAGAUGGAUCCGCGCCGCAUUAGCUAGUUGGUAAGGUAACGGCUUACCAAGGCAACGAUGCGUAGCCGACCUGAGCGGGUGAUCGGCCACACGGGAACUGAGACACGGCCCAGACUCCUACGGGAGGCAGCAGUAGGGAAUCUUCCGCAAUGGGCGAAAGCUUGACGGAGCAACGCCGCGUGAGUGAUGAAGGUCUUCGGAUCGUAAAACUCUGUUAUUAGGGAAGAACAAAUGUGUAAGUAACUAUGCACGUCUUGACGGUACCUAAUCAGAAAGCCACGGCUAACUACGUG
rnacentral:rRNA from 1 species